rnacentral:lncRNA from 1 species
GUAAGCUGAGGCUUGUAUUUUGACAAUAUUGAAAUUCAAUGUCUCCCUUCACUCAGUCCCACUUCCUUUACUUCUCCACAGGUCUCGACCUGCUGAGCACUCUUCAGGAAUCCUCGUGGACCCAAGUCUCCAUCUGAAGUCUGUUUCUUGGAAACCUGAUCUGCAGCAUUAAAGAAAUGAAACCUAGUGAAUGGAAGGAGAAUGGAGCCAAACCAAGUUCUUCUCUUGAAGGAAGAUCAGUGCUCUCUUGGGUCUCCAGAUUAUAGGGGCAAAAUUGACUUGGCAGCUCAAAAAUCUAGGACCAGGAGAAGUUUCUGACCAAUAAGACACCUUGUUACCACCCAAAGACCUACAGGACUGGACAUUAUUGUCGCCGUGGUGCCCUAAUGAUGGCGUUUGUCAUAAAGAGGAAUGCCAGGCUGCUGAGCAUGUACAAGGUCACCUUAAGUGGAAGAGAGUGGGCAGAGGUGGCCAGGAAACCACCCCCAGUUCACCUC